GAUGAACGCUGGCGGCGUGCCUAAUACAUGCAAGUCGAGCGAACGGACGAGAAGCUUGCUUCUCUGAUGUUAGCGGCGGACGGGUGAGUAACACGUGGAUAACCUACCUAUAAGACUGGGAUAACUUCGGGAAACCGGAGCUAAUACCGGAUGAUAUUUUGAACCGCAUGGUUCAAAAGUGAAAGACGGUCUUGCUGUCACUUAUAGAUGGAUCCGCGCUGCAUUAGCUAGUUGGUAAGGUAACGGCUUACCAAGGCAACGAUGCAUAGCCGACCUGAGAGGGUGAUCGGCCACACUGUAACUGAGACACGGUCCAGACUCCUACGGGAGGCAGCAGUAGGGAAUCUUCCGCAAUGGGCGAAAGCCUGACGGAGCAACGCCGCGUGAGUGAUGAAGGUCUUCGGAUCGUAAAACUCUGUUAUUAGGGAAGAACAUAUGUGUAAGUAACUGUGCACAUCUUGACGGUACCUAAUCAGAAAGCCACGGCUAACUACGU
rnacentral:rRNA from 1 species